rnacentral:rRNA from 1 species
UACAGAGGUGGCAAGCGUUGUUCGGAAUUACUGGGCGUAAAGGGCGCGUAGGCGGUCUUGCAAGUCCGCUGUGAAAGUCAAAGGCUCAACCUUUGAAAGCCGGUGGAUACUGUGGGACUAGAGUACGGAAGAGGCGAGUGGAAUUCCUGGUGUAGCGGUGGAAUGCGCAGAUAUCAGGAGGAACACCAAUAGCGAAGGCAGCUCGCUGGGACGUUACUGACACUGAGGCGCGAAAGCGUGGGGAGCGAACAGG